UACGUAGGGGGCAAGCGUUGUUCGGAAUUACUGGGCGUAAAGGGCGCGUAGGCGGCACGGCAAGUCGGGAGUGAAAGCCCGGGGCUCAACCCCGGAACGUCUUUCGAAACUGCCGAGCUAGAGUGCGGAAGGGGCAACUGGAAUUCCCAGUGUAGCGGUGAAAUGCGUAGAUAUUGGGAAGAACACCUGAGGCGAAGGCGGGUUGCUGGGCCGACACUGACGCUGAGGCGCGAAAGCGUGGGGAGCGAACAGG
rnacentral:rRNA from 1 species